CCUUUGGUUUGUUUCAUGAGGAUAUUUUUAUUCAGUGCAUACAUGUUGAUUUGUUCAUGUGUUUAAAAGUACGAGCAGAAUGCUGGAUGUACCUGCAGUAGUAGUCCAGCAGAGGAUCUUCCUAGCGAUUUGGAUGUAUAGAGUUUAUGAUGCGGAAACCUAAUUUUGUCUUUGUACAGAUAUCGGAUUUUCUCCUUUCUCUUUGUGAACUCUUUUGAUAUGUUAUUUACUCCUAAUUUCAACUUUUCACGGUUUGUUCUUCUUCCAAGAUUUCAGGGAUUAUGGACCACUGUAUGGACAGAUAUGAUCCUUGACUCUCGUUGUUCUUGGCGUGUUGCUGCCAUUUUACUAGGCAGAAUCCAUGCACGACCGAGACCUCAGUCUAUCCACUGUACGAGUGUUUAAUGAAUUUACUCUUCUCCAUGGCAUGUCCAUGAGGGCAGAAAUUUCAUGCUUCAAAUCUGUUUGGCGAGAACUUUUUCAGGCCUGGAGAUGUCCUAGUGAACUGGUUAAUGAUUUUCGAAAAGUGGAGCUGCACUCAAGGUUUGAGAUAUAGUUUAUGUCGAUAGGAUGAGUUGUUUGAUCUCUUUGCCCUGUUCUUUGAGAUGGGUUGUGAUCAAAACUCUUGGCGCCACGAGCAACAAUUGAGGCUCCUCUUCAUAAGCACAAAAUCUGCAGUAAGCAGAAAUUGGAGAGGUAAACCAAAUAGUGUUCAUUAUGAGCUAAUCUGGACCAUGUACAGAUUCCACCAGAGUUAAACAAAAUUUCUGUACUGAAGGUGGUGUGGCAUUGAAGCUGUGAUGUCCUCGGCCAUGCCCGCCAUCGAAAUCUCCGUUAUUUUCCUCUACUUGUAUUCCACCUUCUCGUUGCAAUUCAAUUUUUAGGAUCAACAGUAUCUAUGCAAUUAAUUUCAAACUUCGCAGGAUUUUCAACAUGUCAGUCACACUCUAAUAAGUGUUCAUCUUUAAUUUCCUACCCUAUAGUAGGCAACACAAUUUGCUAUAUAUGCAUGAACACUGAUAAAUUAAUUUGUGUUAGUAUGUAGUGGUUCAGGGAUGC